rnacentral:rRNA from 1 species
GACGAACGCUGGCGGCGUGCUUAACACAUGCACGUCGAACGGAAAGGCCCUGCUCUUGUGGGUUUCUCGAUUGGCGAACGGGUGAGUAACACGUGUGUAACCUGCCCUUGACUUUGUGAUAACUUCUGGGAACUCGGGCUAAUACCGGAUAGGAGCUCCUGCUGCAUGGUGGGGGUUGGAAAAUUUCGGCGGUGGGGGAUGGUCUCGCUGCUUAUCAGCUUGUUGGUGGGGUAGUGGCAUACCAAGGCUUUGACGGGUAGCCGGCCUGGGAGGGUGACCGGCGACAUUGGGCCUGCGAGAGGGACCAGAAGGCAACGGGCGGCAGCAGUGGGGAAUAUUGCGCAACGGGCGGAAGCCUGAUGCAGAAACGCCGCGUGCGGGAUGCCGGCUUUCGAGUUGUAAACCGAUUUCGAAUGUGACGAAGCGGGCGUGACGGUAAUGGGUAAAGAAGCAACGGCUAACUACGUG